CCCAGACUCCUACGGGAGGCAGCAGUGAGGAAUAUUGGUCAAUGGUCGGGAGACUGAACCAGCCAAGCCGCGUGAGGGAUGAAGGUACAGAGUAUCGUAAACCUCUUUUGUCAGGGAACAAAGGCGGGGACGCGUCCCCGGAUGAGUGUACCUGAAGAAAAAGCAUCGGCUAACUCCGUGCCAGCAGCCGCGGUAAUACGGAGGAUGCGAGCGUUAAUCGGAAUUACUGGGCGUAAAGCGCACGCAGGCGGUUUGUUAAGUCAGAUGUGAAAUCCCCGGGCUCAACCUGGGAACUGCAUCUGAUACUGGCAAGCUUGAGUCUCGUAGAGGGGGGUAGAAUUCCAGGUGUAGCGGUGAAAUGCGUAGAUAUCGCGCAGAACUCCGAUUGCGAAGGCAGCAUGCCGGCUCCACACUGACGCUGAGGCACGAAAGCGUGGGUAUCGAACAGGAUUAGAUACCCCUGUA
rnacentral:rRNA from 1 species